CGAUCCCGUCUGGAAGCGC
rnacentral:misc_RNA from 1 species